UCUCCUGUGGUUUAGAUGGUAAAGAAUCUGCCUGCAAUGCAGGAGACCCGGGUUCAAUUCCUGGGUUGGGAA
rnacentral:tRNA from 1 species